rnacentral:rRNA from 1 species
UACGAAGGGUGCGAGCGUUGUUCGGAAUUACUGGGCGUAGAGGGUUUGUAGGCAGGAAUGUAAGUCAAGUGUGAAAUCCCCGAGCUUAACUUGGGACGUGCACUUGAAACUGUGUUUCUUGAGUAUCGUAGAGGGUGGUGGAAUUGUUGGUGUAGGAGUGACAUCCGUAGAGAUCAGCAGGAACAUCAGAGGCGAAAGCGACCACCUGGCCGAUAACUGACGCUGAGGAACGAAAGCGUGGGGAGCAAACAGG